rnacentral:rRNA from 1 species
AGUUAACGCUGGCGGUAGGCCUAACACAUGCAAGUCGAACGGCAGCACAGUAAGAGCUUGCUCUUACGGGUGGCGAGUGGCGGACGGGUGAGGAAUACAUCGGAAUCUACUUUUUCGUGGGGGAUAACGUAGGGAAACUUACGCUAAUACCGCAUACGACCUACGGGUGAAAGCAGGGGAUCUUCGGACCUUGCGCGAUUGAAUGAGCCGAUGUCGGAUUAGCUAGUUGGCGGGGUAAAGGCCCACCAAGGCGACGAUCCGUAGCUGGUCUGAGAGGAUGAUCAGCCACACUGGAACUGAGACACGGUCCAGACUCCUACGGGAGGCAGCAGUGGGGAAUAUUGGACAAUGGGCGCAAGCCUGAUCCAGCCAUACCGCGUGAGUGAAGAAGGCCUUCGGGUUGUAAAGCCCUUUUGUUGGGAAAGAAAAGCAGCAGGUUAAUACCCCGCUGUUCUGACGGUACCCAAAGAAUAAGCACCGGCUAACUUCGUG